rnacentral:pre_miRNA from 1 species
GGGAAGUUCAAGGAGCUCUCUUCAGUCCAAUCUACGAGGGGAAGAGGGCACAUCCGGCUGCUGGUUCAUGCAUACCUUUGGGGUGCAACUCCCUGCACCACAGUGGUGAGCAUGCGCCAGGAGACGACCUUCCUUCCUUCUUCUCAUGCUUGGAUUGAAGGGAGCUCCUCUCUCUCUCUCU